ensembl:lncRNA
GGGUGGUGAGUUACCCCUGUAUAGAGUGGGGUUAGGGUGGUGAGUUGCCCCUGUAUAGAGUGGGGUUAGGGUGGUGAGUUAGCCCUGUAUAGAGUAGGGUUAGGGUGGUGAGUUACCCCUGUAUAGAGUAGGAGUGGGGUGGUGAGUUACCCCUGUAUAGAGGAGUGGGGUGGUGAGUUACCCCUGUAUAGAGUGGGGUUAGGGUGGUGAGUUACCCCUGUAUAGAGUAGGGUGGUGGGUUAGGGUGGUGAGUUACCCCUGUAUAGAGUAGAGUUAGGGUGGUGAGUUACCCCUGUAUAGAGUCGG